rnacentral:rRNA from 1 species
UACGUAGGGGGCAAGCGUUGUCCGGAAUCAUUGGGCGUAAAGAGCGUGUAGGCGGCCCGGUAAGUCCGCUGUGAAAGUCCAGGGCUCAACCCUGGGAUGCCGGUGGAUACUGUCGGGCUCGAGUCCGGAAGAGGAGUGUGGAAUUCCUGGUGUAGCGGUGAAAUGCGCAGAUAUCAGGAGGAACACCAAUGGCGAAGGCAGCACUCUGGGACGUGACUGACGGCUGAGACGCGAAAAGCGUGGGGAGCAAACAGG